rnacentral:rRNA from 1 species
UACGUAGGGUGCGAGCGUUAAUCGGAAUUACUGGGCGUAAAGCGUGCGCAGGCGGUUCGUUGUGUCGGUGGUGAAAUCCCCCGGGCUUAACCUGGGAAUGGCCAUGGAAACUGGCGAACUGGAGUGUGGCAGAGGGGGGGUGGAAUUCCGCGUGUAGCAGUGAAAUGCGUAGAGAUGCGGAGGAACACCGAUGGCGAAGGCAGCCCCCCCUGGGCUAACACUGACGCUCAGGCACGAAAGCGUGGGGAGCAAACAGG